AAACAAAAGGCCUCUGAAACUCCCUCCCCCUAUCUCUCUCUAUCUCUCUCUCUCUCUGAUCGCCGACCGGAGCUCUCUCCCCGUCUUCAAUUUAUCCUAACGCACUCCUCUGGGCAAGUAGAACAACUGAAGAGGAAAAAACAAUUGUGGAACUUGUGGAUGAAUCGCCAGCCCCAGCAGUAGUUCUAUGAGCGGGGUCUUCCCGGAGACUAAGAAUUCUGACCUAUUAAAGAACCCAAAGUACAUUAGGUUAAAGUUACUUCCCGGAAAAGACAAUGUCAAGGUGUGGCGUACUUCCUCUUAAAUAUACAAGUCUUUGUCAUUUGGGAUCUAAUUUCAUUAAGCAAAUACUUUGGUCAAUAGUUUCUCUUUCUCCCAAGAAUUUCAUGUAACCGUCUAUCCAAUUCAAAAUUGUUGUUUUGUAUUGCUCGCAGCAAAAUUUUCUGGCAGAGAAUAGUGCUAGUAUUACAAAGUCCUCUGUUCCUUCAGCAUUUCCUACUGAGAGUCAACAUCAUAAGUAAUGGUAAAUAUGUAGAAUUGUAGUUUCUUUGAAGGUAUGUGCUGUCUGAUGCAUCUUUCUGCUUUUCUUCUUAUUGCCAUUAAAAGCCCAGAGACUCUCUUAUGUCAACAGUUAAGGGAAAAAAUCACAAAGCUCAAACUUGUGGCCCAAGUGAAAACUGCAACGCAAAUACCUUCCGUAGUGUCACAGAUAGUGAUAAGUCACAUGGCUUGUCAUUGUCAACUGUUGAUAUGGAUAAAGCUUUAAGAGGUCUGGCUUCCCAUGCAUCUAGUUGUUUCAGCUAAAAUUGCUGAAUCAUCUGAAAGAAUUGGUAGUUCAAAAUCCAAAGGUUUCUGCUCAAAGUUCCAUGUCCCAUGCAAGAUGACACCAGUGGAUUUGACUAACAUAUGAGUCGUGUCCUCAUCUUCAGUCAAUUGGUUUCAUAGGCUGAUGAGUUGUGGCACCAGGAAUGGCUUGGCAAGGUUCACAUUCUCAGUUAGUUACUCCAUGAGUCAAGACGUGAGUCACUCAUUUGAAAUGUCUUCUUCUGAUCAAACUAUCAAUGAUGUAAAGUUUGACUCUGUGCAAAUUAGUUUCUUGGAAUUUUAUUAACUAUAUCAUCAUAUGUGGGAGCUCUCUCUCUCUCUCUC